UAUCAGGAAAAGUUACUUUGUCCUAUAAAGGAAUAUAAAUGAAAUUGCUAAAUGAAGGUGCAUGCUGACAGAGCUGAGGGGAAAAAAUCCGGGCAAACCUUUUCUCUGUAGAGUACUUAACUGGGUGAAAUAUUUUGAAAAUUAAACCAUUUUAUAGGAUCAUUACACCUUAUCAUCACAGCUUGAUAAUUCCUACAGGGACUCUGCACCAAAAAAGAUUUUUUCCAACCAAGAACUGAAAAUUCUACUCAAACUCCUAAAAACUUGGGAGAAGUAGGGUUAUAACCACAAUAUGAAUUCCACUUGCAUUAGUAACAGGAGGAAAAUCUGAAAACUUAAACUAAGCAUUCUUAGGCCUGGAAAAGUUGUAUUACUAAAACAUAAGCCAAAGCCAACACUACACACUUUCAUCAAAGGCUUAGACUAACACCUCUCCUGUGUGACAGGAGAAAAAAUUCAUGAGGUUGAGGCAGAGGUUUGGUUGGUUAUUAACAACUCAGUGCUCAACAGGGCAGAGUAAAACAAUGUACACAGAGGAAUUCUCCCCAGUUAGCUGCUAUUCUACUGCAUCACUCAAGUCUGCAGAGGAAACUAUGAAAGAAGAUGACUGGCACACGAAGAAAGACAUUGAACAGAGUGAGCACAGUGUGCCAAGAACAGAAAAA